AUGCAUGUAAAACUUCCCCUCUUAGAUUUAAAGGAGUUGAAAAAAGUCAAUCAUUUGGUGUUAAGAGGGAUGCAGAGGGAAGAGUGUGUAACCCACAAAGUCUAGUGAAGUAUGAUGCAGAAAAACUUAGGGUGUCAACCGUUAAGUUUUUUAUUAGGUGUGAAUUGCCUUUUAGGCUUGUGGAGAAUGAAGGGUUUGUUGAGUAUGUGGCUGAUUUAGAGUAUCGAUUUACUUUACCAUCCCGAAUCACUUUAAAAAAGGAUUGUAUUAAGCUGUAUAACGAAGAGAAGAUACAGCUAAAAAAAUUGUUGGAUGAUUGUCGAAGCCCUCAUUUGCACUCAAAAUUGGUUAAGGACCAAACCUGUCGACAUCUGGGAGUUGGAAGAAUACGUACAGUCGAUAGAUCUUGAAGAUGAUUAUCUAGCUUCAUCUUCAACAGAGGCUACUGUGAGUCUCUCUUCCCAUUCAUGCU